UACGUAGGGUGCAAGCGUUGUCCGGAAUUAUUGGGCGUAAAGAGCUCGUAGGCGGCUUGUCGCGUCGGCUGUGAAAACUCGGGGCUCAACCCCGAGCCUGCAGUCGAUACGGGCAGGCUAGAGUCCGGCAGGGGAGACUGGAAUUCCUGGUGUAGCGGUGAAAUGCGCAGAUAUCAGGAGGAACACCAAUUGCGAAGGCAGCUCGCUGGGACGUAACUGACGCUGAGACGCGAAAGCGUGGGGAGCAAACAGG
rnacentral:rRNA from 1 species